rnacentral:rRNA from 1 species
GACCUCUUUUUCUAGGUGUGCUGUUUCCCAAAAGGGUUACCCCACCGACUUCGGGUGUUACAAACUCUCGUGUUGGGACGGGCGGUGUGUAAAGGCCCGGAAACGUAUUCACCGCGGCAUGCUGAUCCACGAUUACUACCAAUUCCGGCUUCAUGUAGGCGAGUUGCAGCCUACAAUCCGAACUGAUAAUGACUUUUUGGGAUUGGCUUGGCCUCGCGGCUUCUCAACCCUUUGUAUCAUCCAUUGUAGCACGUGUGUAGCCCAGGUCAUAAGGGGCAUGAUGAUUUGACGUCUUCCCCACCUUCCUCCGGUUUGUCACCGGCAGUCACCUUAGAGUGCCCAACUGAAUGCUGGCAACUAAGGUCAAGGGUUGCGCUCGUUGCGGGACUUAACCCAACAUCUCACGACACGAGCUGACGACAACCUUGCACCACCUGUCACUUUGUCCCCCGAAGGGGAAAGCUCUAUCUCUAGAGUGGACAAAGGAUGUCGAGACCUGGGAAGGUUCUUCGCGUUGCUUCAAAUUAAACCACUUGCACCACUGCUUGAUGGGCCCCCGUCAAUUCCUUUGAGUUUCAACCUUGCGGUCGUACUCCCCAGCUGAUUGCUUUAAUGUGUUACUUCAUCACUGAGGGAG